GAGUUGGUUACUAAUCAGCCACUUUUCCCUGGCGAUUCCGAGUUACAGCAGCUCCUCCACAUCUUCAAGUUGCUGGGCACCCCAAAUGAGGAGAUGUGGCCAGGAGUAGGCUCCAUCUUGUUCUAGACCUUUUUCUAAAUCAUAUUUUUACUCGUCCAGGCUUUAUACAUAUGUUAUUAUUGCACUA